AUUGAACGCUGGCGGCAUGCCUUACACAUGCAAGUCGAACGGCAGCGGACCUUCGGGUGCCGGCGAGUGGCGAACGGGUGAGUAAUAUAUCGGAACGUACCUUUCAGUGGGGGAUAACGUAACGAAAGUUACGCUAAUACCGCAUAUUCUGUGAGCAGGAAAGCAGGGGAUCGCAAGACCUUGCGCUGAUUGAGCGGCCGAUAUCAGAUUAGCUAGUUGGCGGGGUAAAGGCCCACCAAGGCGACGAUCCGUAGCUGGUCUGAGAGGAUGAUCAGCCACACUGGAACUGAGACACGGUCCAGACUCCUACGGGAGGCAGCAGUGGGGAAUAUUGGACAAUGGGGGCAACCCUGAUCCAGCCAUGCCGCGUGUGUG
rnacentral:rRNA from 1 species